rnacentral:rRNA from 1 species
AUUGAACGCUGGCGGCAUGCUUUACACAUGCAAGUCGAACGGCAGCACGGAGAGCUCGCUCUCUGGUGGCGAGUGGCGAACGGGUGAGUAAUGCAUCGGAACGUACCGAGUAAUGGGGGAUAACUGUCCGAAAGGAUGGCUAAUACCGCAUACGCCCUGAGGGGGAAAGCGGGGGAUCGAAAGACCUCGCGUUAUUUGAGCGGCCGAUGUUGGAUUAGCUAGUUGGUGGGGUAAGGGCCCACCAAGGCGACGAUCCAUAGCGGGUCUGAGAGGAUGAUCCGCCACAUUGGGACUGAGACACGGCCCAAACUCCUACGGGAGGCAGCAGUGGGGAAUUUUGGACAAUGGGGGGAACCCUGAUCCAGCCAUGCCGCGUGUCUGAAGAAGGCCCUCGGGUUGUAAAGGACUUUUGUUAGGGAAGAAAAGCCGGGUGUUAAUACCACCUGGUGCUGACGGUACCUAAAGAAUAAGCACCGGCCAACUACGUGCCAGCAGCCGCGGUAAUACGUAGGGUGCGAGCGUUAAUCGGAAUUACUGGGCGUAAAGCGAGCGCAGACGGUUAAUUAAGUCAGAUGUGAAAUCCCCGAGCUCAACUUGGGACGUGCAUUUGAAACUGGUUAACUAGAGUGUGUCAGAGGGAGGUAGAAUUCCACGUGUAGCAGUGAAAUGCGUAGAGAUGUGGAGGAAUACCGAUGGCGAAGGCAGCCUCCUGGGAUAACACUGACGUUCAUGCUCGAAAGCGUGGGUAGCAAACAGGAUUAGAUACCCUGGUAGUCCACGCCCUAAACGAUGACAAUUAGCUGUUGGGACACUAGAAUGUUUUAGUAGCGAAGCUAACGCGUGAAAUUGUCCGCCUGGGG